rnacentral:lncRNA from 1 species
CACAGAAACAGAGAUUGAAGUAAUGAGGCUACAAAUCAAGACGUUUUCAGAAAAUUCUUCCUGCCAAGCUGUGGUCAAGUGUGUCACAUGAGUAGUAAACUUAUAAAUGUGCCUGUCUGUGCUCUAACUACCUGCUGCAGAAUGCUGGGCUGCACUUCCUUCCAAACUGCUGCAGCCAGCCUGCCAUCUUCCUCUUCUUUUUCCUCCUCAUCCUCUGCCUAUAUCUACUACACCUCCACUACUGGGCUAGCUCAGAAAAUCCAAUCUCACUAAAGCAUUUCACGCUGGAUCAUUAGUAAGAGAUGGACCCAUACAGAUUACAGUUAAAAUCUACUGACUGUGACAUUAAAGAAGACACAGAAUUUCAAUGGAAGGGAAAGCCUGUACCAUCACCAAAGGCAUGGAAUCCACUAGUUACUGUCUUGAACCUGCAGUAUGUUAUCCUAAAACCUAACUGUAGUGUUAGCAGCCCAAGUUACAAAUGUCUUAAUUAUUCCUACUAAAAGCCAGAUAGAUGGGAAGAAACUGCUGACAAAAGUCGAUGUAGAGAGGAGCCCAGGUAGAACCUCUCUUUUCAAUACAGAAAAUAUGGAAACAGAAACUGGACUGAUCCCAGUAAUAACCUGGCCCUUGAGGAGAAAGUUACAGCAGGCUCACCCUAGAGGCCCAACACACACACUGCCACUUUCUACAAUAGCUUUAAUGAAUGAGA